rnacentral:rRNA from 1 species
UACGUAGGGUGCGAGCGUUAAUCGGAAUUACUGGGCGUAAAGCGUGCGCAGGCGGUUCGUUGUGUCUGCUGUGAAAUCCCCGGGCUCAACCUGGGAAUGGCAGUGGAAACUGGCGAGCUUGAGUGUAGCAGAGGGGGGUGGAAUUCCACGUGUAGCAGUGAAAUGCGUAGAGAUGUGGAGGAACACCGAUGGCGAAGGCAGGUCUCUGGGCUGACACUGACGCUCAUGCACGAAAGCGUGGGGAGCAAACAGG